AUUUGGCUGACAUAAUCAGGUGUCAAGCAAGACACCUGUCACUCAUUCAUGGGUGGGAAUAUGGAUUGAUCUGAAAAAAGCAAACACCUGUGAAGGGGGUGUGAGCUGCUGAGGGUACGAGGAGGGGCUCUGAGGCAUGAGUCACUUUCAGACCCUUAAGGUUAAAAACCUGCAGGACAAAAUGUGGGGGUAUUUCAUGUGAGCUGUUGAUGUGAUGAUGAUCCUUGGCAAGAAGUUGCAUGUUGAGGCCUGAGGUCUGCCAGGAAGAGGCACAGCAGUGUAUGCACUCUUGCUGUCUGCCUAUCCCAAGGAACACCUACCAAACACCCCUAAGAGAAGGGACACACAGCAUCAAUUCAGCUGGAAAAGACCUGAGAUCAUUGAAUUCAACCUUUGACCACCUUGCCAGCUAGACCAUGGCACUCAGUGCCACAUUCAGCCAUUUCUUGAACAUACCUGGAGCUUGAAACCCUUCAAAGCAGGGAGUGAGUGCCCUGGCUGCUCCUGUGUUCCUGGGUGAAAGAUGGGUGUCCUCACCUCUCCUGGGUAAUGGGAGUCCCACAUGGUGAGUGUCCCUCAGAAACAGUCUCUGCUUUGUGUGGAAGAGAUUUCCUGAACCCUUCUAAGCACAGGCUGUGGGGUGCUGGGUGCUGACUCCUGCUUCUCGGUCCUGAAACUGGCUGUGAGCCUGAGCAUCUUCCUGUGCUGCCCCUGAUGUGGUUAAAGCCCUGGAGCAGAUGCCCCUGUCCUGGCAGGAACCAGGAAAUGUUGUCCAGGGUGGUGAUUCCUGCUCUGGUCCGUGGAGAUGAGGACAUGAGUGGCCACUUUCUCUGCAGGCCACGGUCAAGUCUUUCAUCCUGGUUUUGUUUUCAGUGCUGACAUUCACACAGAUUCUAAUUUCUGCUGCCAGCGUGGCAAAAGUCUUGCAGGCACCUCUCCAAGCACGUCCUUGCUCUUGCCUCAUCUUGUGUGGAUCAAUAGGCUGCUCGGGGUGUGCUGCUCACUGUAGCCUUGCUGCUGUCACUGGGGACCCACCCAUGCCCACCCUCUGCAGUGGAAGGAAGGCAACCAGAUGUUCCUCAUGGGCUCAGGAGACAGGAACAUGGAAACAAAGCUUGGCCAUUGUUCACGUCUCGUACUGCUGGUGUGCUCUGCUGGGCCAAGGAAUGCUGCUAAAGCACAGCAGGACCAAGGGCCUUGCAGCACUAUUGUGCUGGGACUUCACUAACCAGGCCCAGAGAAAUCCUGCUGUGGGCUCAGUGGGAAAUGGAUGGACAUCUUCCACAGCAGACAUUAGCUUUUGACUGGGAUGUGCAUGUUAAUGAGAUGCAAGGGUAUCACAGCCCAGGUCUGAAUGUUUUCUGAGGUUUUUCUGAAGACCCUUAGCACCCUGUGCCAAGAAAAUGCUCCAAGGAAGGCUGUAUUCAUCGUGUCUGGUGCUUCCAGCCAGAAGAACGGAAGGAGGAUAUGAAAAUGAGUAAUUAUUUUUAAGUUAUCCAGAUGCACUUGCUGACCUUUCUUUUGUGCACCCUGAACUGGUUUCCAUCAUCCUUGCUGUAGUUUCUCAAAAUCUUGGAGAAAAUGAAUUUUCAAAGGAUGAGGGGAGGAGAAAGCAGUGAAGUCAGAUGCUAAUUUCACAACAUGUGAAAUAUCUUCUUUAACUGACAGAGCACCAGCCUCUUUCUCUUGGUGUUCUUGCCCAUGGUGAUGAAGCUUUGCAGGGCAGCAAUGGGGAGCAGCUACUGGGGCAGAGAUGGGCAUUAUCCUGCUCCCAGCCACUGUUCCUGGCUGCAGCAUGCUGAGAUCCUGGCUCCACUGCCUGUUUAUGAAAGAAAAAUGUCUGCUUUUUUUUUUUUCCCCAAACUGUUCCUGUUCCCCAGAAAAGUGGAUUUUAUGCCCUUCCCAAGUUUUUAAUGAGUAGGUUUUUAGUGCUGGUUCAGACUGCUGUCCCUUCCCCUGCAGAGGGGAGCAGUGCUGGCCUGGAGCUGUGCUCUGGGCUGGGAGCAGCGCUGCUGGAGGGGUCUUUGGUCAGGCCAGCUGCUGGAGGGAUGAGCCAUCCUCCCUGGAGCUGAGGGAAGGCACAGAAUCAGGGGCAGCUCUGCACAGCUCCUGCAGGCACCUGGCAGGCUUCAGUGUGUCUGGGCUGCGGGGACUUGUCCAGAGAGAGCAGCAGGACUCUGCUCCCGUAGAGAACUGCUCCAGGCUGGGGGCUGCUGCAAAUGACUGCCCCACCCUCUGUGUCUGUGAGUGGCUUUCUUCAGAGAUGGCACUUGAGGGAGUGAACUUUUUGUCUGUCCCCACUUCAACCUCCAGCCAGCUUUCCAGCUCCGUGUCAGGCACGGGACUCCUUUAGCACACAGUGUUCAUUCGCAGCGAAGCCUCUGGCAGCUGUUUUCCUUGGAUGCAUUCCCUAGAUCAAGAGUCAGCACAUGUUCACUACGAGACCUAUUUGGUAAAUGGGCUGAGAACAGAGAUAAUCUUAGACUAGUUUGGUUUGCUGAGGAGCACUGACACAGCUCAGUUUGUGCUUGAAUGCUAAUUUAGAGCUGGAGUCUGUGCUGGGUUCAGCCGUGCAGCUCCUGAUCACAUCAUUGUCACAUGAACUCGUGCACAUAUCUGGUAGAUUGCCUGUUGUCUGUGUUAGGAUGUUGUACCAUGGAUAGGGAGGAGGAAUGGAAGAAAUUCAGUCAUUCAUAAAAAUGAAUAAAUGAAUCUUUGUUUAAUAUGUAAUCCAAGAUCGUUUUACCUACAUCUUGCUUGUUUGUCCUAGAGAGACCUUUGUGCCCAUCUCCCCUGGGGGCUCUUGCCCUUUUCCCAAAGCCUGUUUUUAUGAAGAGCUCUGGAUCUUCUGAAUGCAUUCACUGUGUAAAAGGUACUGGGGAGUCAGUUUAUCCCCCCUCCUGUACAGGUGUCCCCUUUACCCAAAGCCAGGCCAUCCCUGUUGGAAUAUUGCGGCUGAGCUGCUCUGGAUGCUUUCACCAGCAGCUGUUUAAAUCACUAUCAACAGAAUUCUGCUUUGCCUUGCUCAAAAGAUCACAUUAGGUGAUUUAACCUGAUAUUCUGGGUUUAGCAGGCAGAUUAGUGGCUGUUAAAAUGCAAAGUCAUAUGCCAUUGAUAAUCUAUGACCAGCAGUGGAUCCCGGGUAAUUGUCACUUAGUCAACAGAACAAGUCAGGUGCAGCACACGGGUGCUGGAACACAUGCCCUGCACAGAUCCUGCUCCUUUCCAGAGCUUUCAGAGGGCACUGCUUGAUGUGUUUCUGGCUGUGAUGGAGGCAGUGGUGGUGUUACUCAAACUGAGCUCUGCCUGGCCUGUUUGGGACCUAGCCCUUGGUGUGAAGCAGUGUAGUGAUACCGUCCCAAAAGCCCUUCUCUUUCUUGUGGUUCUGAUAUAAAUUCAUUUUUCAGAGCACUGCAGCUGCCAGUUAAAUCAAUUAAGGCAAAUCGCCUGUAUCUUAAGGAAGAGCUGAGUGUGAAGUGGAGGAGAAGGGAGGUUCUGUGCAGGAUCAUGACCCCCAUGCCCAGGGCUUGUGCUGGCUGGGGCGGUCAGGCUGGCGGUGCCACAAAGCAUCCCCCAAGCCUUUGGCCUCUGGAAACAGCUGCACAUUGCCAGGCACAGUUCUAAAGCUCCCUGCAGGAGUCACUCAGGGAAAAUCCAGCUCGAGAAGGCUUAUAAAAAGGAAAAGGAUCUGUGCCUCAACACCCACACAGUGCUUUGUGCCUUCACCAGCUCUAAUAGCAGGGGAUUGGGCAUCCCAUCUAGGCCUGGCUCAGCCCUGUGCUGCCUGGGAUUUGUGGGUGCUAAUAGCUGCAAUCCAGUGCUCCUGUGCUAGCAGAGAUACAGCAUGAAGGCAUGUUGUCCUUGCCAUGUGCUAUUCGUGGGGAAGAAUAAUCCAUAAAUCAAGAUAUUACAAGGCUAUUUAGUGAUUCUUCUACUGUUAUACAUGUGUCAACAACAAAUAAAAGAAGCAUUUGAUGGCGUUAGUCCAUGUGCCAGGAAAUCCUCCUGGUUCCUUUCCUUACCUAAGGAAGGGGGGACCUAAGGCUAUUUGGCUGAGCAGGCUGUGCUGCGAUGCUCCUGCACAGGCAGUGUGUUCUUCCUGAGCUCUGCCAAGAAUUUGCUUGUCACAGAGAUGUGUAAUGUGAUUGCAGUGGAAAAUACAUGCAAAUG